rnacentral:rRNA from 1 species
UGGAGAGUUUGAUCCUGGCUCAGGACGAACGCUGCGGCGUGCCUAAUACAUGCAAGUCGAGCGGAUCACUAUUUCCUUCGGAGGCUGAUGCUUAGCGGCGGACGGGUGAGUAAUACGUAGGCAACCUGCCCAUAAGACUGGGAUAACUUGCGGAAACGUGGGCUAAUACCGGAUAGGCGRUUUUCUCGCAUGAGGGAAUCGGGAAAGGCGGAGCAAUCUGCCACUUAUGGAUGGACCUACGGCGCAUUAGCUAGUUGGUGGGGUAACGGCUCACCAAGGCGACGAUGCGUAGCCGACCUGAGAGGGUGAUCGGCCACACUGGGACUGAGACACGGCCCAGACUCCUACGGGAGGCAGCAGUAGGGAAUCUUCCGCAAUGGACGCAAGUCUGACGGAGCAACGCCGCGUGAGUGAUGAAGGUUUUCGGAUCGUAAAGCUCUGUUGCCAGGGAAGAACGCUAUGGAGAGUAACUGUACCAUAGGUGACGGUACCUGAGAAGAAGCCCGCUACUACAUCGUGCCAGCAGCCGCGGUA